AAAGCACUUGUGUGUUAUUUCAGACAACAGCCUCUGCAGUUUUUACAUCUGCAAGGGCUCUUCCGUGUGCCUCUGCCUGAGAGCUGCACAGCACAGGCUCAUUCAAAAAGCUUUUGGGAUUACUGUCUUACCCUGAGGGCAAGGAAGGGAUUUGUUCCAGGUAAAAAACCCUGUCAGGAUCCUAUCAGUUAUUCACUGCUAGAGGAAGGAUUUGUCCACGUCUGUGGGUUAGCACAGAGAAAAGAUGCUCUGAGCAGCAGAGACCCUCCUUCAGCUCAGUGCGCAUGCCAUAAAGCCCCAUGUUGAAGCCCCAUGGUUAGGGUUUAUUAUUAUUACCAUGGAUUUUGUUUUACUGCACCUAUUUAUUAAAAGUUGAGACCACAGCUCUCAGUAGGA